rnacentral:rRNA from 1 species
UACGUAGGGGGCAAGCGUUUGUCCGGAAUCAUUGGGCGUAAAGCGCGUGUAGGCGGCCAGGUAAGUCCGUUCUGAAAGCCCGGGGCUCAACCCCGGGAGGCGGAUGGAUACUGCUUGGCUCGAGUCCGGAAGAGGCGAGUGGAAUUCCCGGUGUAGCGGUGAAAUGCGCAGAUAUCGGGAGGAACACCGGUGGCGAAGGCGGGUC